rnacentral:rRNA from 1 species
CGCGUGGGAACCUGCCAAGCAGUACGGAAUAACCUUUGGAAACGAAGGCUAAUACCGCAUACGCCCUUUUGGGGAAAGAUUUAUCGCUGUUUGAUGGUCCCGCGUCUGACUAGCUUGUUGGUAAGGUAACGGCUUACCAAGGCAACGAUCAGUAGCUGGUCUGAGAGGAUGAUCAGCCACACUGGAACUGAGACACGGUCCAGACUCCUACGGGAGGCAGCAGUGGGGAAUAUUGGACAAUGGGCGCAAGCCUGAUCCAGCAAUGCCGCGUGAGUGAAGAAGGCCCUAGGGUUGUAAAACUCUUUCAAUAGUGAAGAUGAUGACGGUAACUAUAAAAGAAGCACCGGCUAA